AUGAUUUUGUCAAAGUGGAAAUGUUAUAUUCCCUUCUGCUGUUCAACUGUACAGACGUGUUACACCCUGUUAACAACUAACCUGCUAACCCUGUUAACAACUAACCUGCUGACCCUGUUAACAACUAACCUGCUGACCCUUUUAACAACUAACCUGCUGACCCUUUUAACAACUAACCUGCUGACCCUGUUAACAACUAACCUGCUAACCCUGUUAACAACUAACCUGCUGACCCUGUUAACAACUAACCUGCUGACCCUGAUAACAACUAACCUGCUGACCCUGUUAACAACUAACCUGCUGACCCUGAUAACAACUAACCUGCUGACUCUGUUAACAACUAACCUGCUGACCCUGUUAACAACUAACCUGCUGACCCUGAUAACUAACCUGCUGACCCUGAUAACUAACCUGCUAACCCUGUUAACAACUAACCUGCUGACCCUGUUAACAACUAACCUGCUGACCCUGUUAACAACUAACCUGCUGACCCUGUUAACAACUAACCUGCUGACCCUGUUAACAACUAACCUGAUAACCCUGUUAACAACUAACCUGCUGACCCUGUUAACAACUAACCUGCUGACCCUGAUAACAACUAACCUGCUAACCCUGUUAACAACUAACCUGCUGACCCUGUUAACAACUAACCUGCUAACCCUGUUAACAACUAACCUGCUAACCCUGUUAACAACUAACCUGCUAACCCUGUUAACAACUAACCUGCUGACCCUGUUAACAACUAACCUGCUGACCCUGAUAACUAACCUGCUGACCCUGUUAACAACUAACCUGCUGACCCUGAUAACAACUAACCUGCUGACCCUGUUAACAACUAACCUGCUAACCCUGUUAACAACUAACCUGCUGACCCUGUUAACAACUAACCUGCUAACCCUGUUAACAACUAACCUGCUAACCCUGUUAACAACUAACCUGCUGACCCUGUUAACAACUAACCUGCUAACCCUGUUAACAACUAACCUGCUGACCCUGUUAACAACUAACCUGCUGACCCUGUUAACAACUAACCUGCUAACUCUGUUAACAACUAACCUGCUGACCCUGUUAACAACUAACCUGCUAACCCUGUUAACAACUAACCUGCUAACCCUGUUAACAACUAACCUGCUAACCCUGUUAACAACUAACCUGCUGACCCUGUUAACAACUAACCUGCUGACCCUGUUAACAACUAACCUGCUAACCCUGUUAACAACUAACCUGCUGACCCUGUUAACAACUAACCUGCUAACCCUGUUAACAACUAACCUGCUGACCCUGUUAACAACUAACCUGCUGACCCUGUUAACAACUAACCUGCUAACCCUGAUAACAACUAACCUGCUGACCCUGAUAACAACUAACCUGCUGACCCUGAUAACAACUAACCUGCUGACCCUGUUAACAAAUAACCUGCUGACCCUGUUAACAACUAACCUGCUGACCCUGAUAACUAACCUGCUGACCCUGUUAACAACUAACCUGCUGACACUGAUAACUAACCUGCUGACCCUGUUAACAACUAACCUGCUGACACUGAUAACUAACCUGCUGACCCUAACACGGUUAAUUAACAUGAUAUUUGUGUACAAAUGGAGGAUAGGUAAUGAAUGCACCUUUAAAUAUCAAAAUGCUUUCCCUCCCCAAAUGUGUGCAAAUGUAAUUAUAAUAACCAGCAGUGGUUGCCUUCUUCGAAGAAGCGGAAUAUUUAUACCAUUAUUGCGACUUUGUUAA
ensembl:lncRNA